ACACAUACAUGAUCUCUAGCCAUAUGGGUCCAUGCAGUGUAGAUUGGCUGCAGUAAGUUCACUGUAGAAGUAGGGUAUGCACCUAUAAGGAAUCUAUCGACCUUGAUAGAAGAGGAGUGAUCCUAUGUGAUUUGUUAGACUGAGUUCUAAGACCUUGGCCAGGGCAGUAAUAUAAAGUGGAAAAAGAGUUUUCCACUAGC
rnacentral:lncRNA from 1 species